rnacentral:rRNA from 1 species
AUUGAACGCUGGCGGCAGGCCUAAAACAUGCAAGUCGAACGAGUGGCGGACGGGUGAGUAAUGUCUGGGAAACUGCCUGAUGGAGGGGGAUAACUACUGGAACCGGUAGCUAAUACCGCAUACCAUCAGAUGUGCCGAGAUGGGAUUAGCUUGUUGGUGGGGUAACGGCUCACCAAGGCGACGAUCCCUAGCUGGUCUGAGAGGAUGAGCGGCCACACUGGGACUGAGACACGGUCCAGACUCCUACGGGAGGCAGCAGUAGGGAAUAUUGGGCAAUGGGCGCAAGCCUGAUGGAGCCACGCCGCGUGUGUGAAGAAGGUCUUCGGGUUGUAAAGUACUGUUGUUGGGGAAGCGUUACCCACCCAGAAAGCCCCGGCUAACUACGUGCCAGCAGCCGCGGUAAUUC